rnacentral:rRNA from 1 species
GACGAACGCUGGCGGCGUGCUUAACACAUGCAAGUCGAACGGAAAGGCCUCUUUCGGGGGGUACUCGAGUGGCGAACGGGUGAGUAACACGUGAGUAACCUGCCCUUGACUUUGGGAUAACUUCAGGAAACUGGGGCUAAUACCGGAUAGGAGCUCCUGCUGCAUGGUGGGGGUUGGAAAGUUUCGGCGGUUGGGGAUGGACUCGCGGCUUAUCAGCUUGUUGGUGGGGUAGUGGCUUACCAAGGCUUUGACGGGUAGCCGGCCUGAGAGGGUGACCGGCCACAUUGGGACUGAGAUACGGCCCAGACUCCUACGGGAGGCAGCAGUGGGGAAUAUUGCACAAUGGGUGGAAGCCUGAUGCAGCAACGCCGUGUGCGGGAUGGCGGCCUUCGGGUUGUAAACCGCUUUCGCUCAUGACGAAGCUUUGUGUGACGGUAGUGGGUAAAGAAGCACCGGCUAACUACGUG